UACGGAGGGUGCAAGCGUUAAUCGGAAUGACUGGGCGUAAAGGGCAUGCAGGCGGUGAGUUAAGUUAGAUGUGAAAGCCCUGGGCUCAACUUGGGAACUGCAUUUAAAACUGGCUGACUAGAGUUUUGUAGAGGGGGGUAGAAUUCCAGGUGUAGCGGUGGAAUGCGUAGAGAUCUGGAGGAAUACCGGUGGCGAAGGCGGCCCCCUGGACAGUAACUGACGCUCAGAUGCGAAAGCGUGGGUAGCAAAC
rnacentral:rRNA from 1 species